GACGAACGCUGGCGGCGUGCUUAACACAUGCAAGUCGAACGGAAAGGCCCUGCUUUUGUGGGGUGCUCGAGUGGCGAACGGGUGAGUAACACGUGAGUAACCUGCCCUUGACUUUGGGAUAACUUCAGGAAACUGGGGCUAAUACCGGAUAGGAGCUCCUGCUGCAUGGUGGGGGUUGGAAAGUUUCGGCGGUUGGGGAUGGACUCGCGGCUUAUCAGCUUGUUGGUGGGGUAGUGGCUUACCAAGGCUUUGACGGGUAGCCGGCCUGAGAGGGUGACCGGCCACAUUGGGACUGAGAGACGGCGCAGACUGCUACGUGAGGCAGCAGUGGGGAAUAUGGCACAGUGGGCGGAAGCCUGAUGCAGCAACGCCGCGUGCGGGAUGACGGCCUUCGGGUUGUAAACCGCUUUCGCCUGUGACGAAGCGUGAGUGACGGUAAUGGGUAAAGAAGCACCGGCUAACUACGUG
rnacentral:rRNA from 1 species